rnacentral:misc_RNA from 1 species
AAGUCGUAACAAGGUUUCCGUAGGUGAACCUGCGGAAGGAUCAUUACCGAACUGUCGACACGAGUUGUUGCUGGCCCUCAAGUUGGGGGUAUGUGCACGCUCUGUUUACACAUCCACUCACACCUGUGCACCCACUGUAGUUCCGUGGCGUGGGGGGCUCUGUCCUCCUGCUGUGGUUCUAUGUCUUUACACACACACUGUGACAAAGUCUCAUGGAAUGCAUAUCGCGUUUAACGCAAUACAAUACAACUUUCAGCAACGGAUCUCUUGGCUCUC